GACAGAGGAUGCAAGCGUUAUCCGGAAUGAUUGGGCGUAAAGCGUCUGUAGGUGUCUUUUCAAGUCCGCCGUCAAAUCCCAGGGCUCAACCCUGGACAGGCGGUGGAAACUACCAAGCUGGAGUACGGUAGGGGCAGAGGGAAUUUCCGGUGGAGCGGUGAAAUGCAUUGAGAUCGGAAAGAACACCAACGGUGAAAGCACUCUACUGGGCCAACACUGACACUGAGAGACGAAAGCUAGGGGAGCAAAUGGG
rnacentral:rRNA from 1 species